UGCUGUCUGGGCGGGAGUGGGUACUCGCAAGUGGGGGGUGAUCGGGUUGUGUGUUAGAGCCGGUGUGAGCGAGUGAGCGAGACAAGGGGUCGCGUGAGCAUGCAGCUUUCUCUCGGAGACACACACACACGGGGUGAGGGGAGCGAGCAUGUGAAGGAAGGCUCCAGGCUUACAACAAGUUAGGGUUUCCUUCAUGUUGUUGUCGGUUCUCAGACAAAACAGUUAGCUAUAAAAAUCAUGUUCUACUCAUGGUCUUUGUUUUCACGGAAAGAGGAGCCAAACUUCCUUUCUCUAUUUCUUCCUUUGUAUCUCUACUGUUAGGUCUACAGCUCGCAAAUCAAUUAUAUGAUUCGGGUAGUCUGGCAUUCAGUGUUUUAUCUAAAAACCGGUUUGCAAUACUAAGAUUCUAGAUCUAGUUUAAAACAAAAGAACAAUAGUUUCUUUUUUAUGUCAAUUGUAAUGUAAAAGGAAUGUUCCCAGGAAUUUUGCUUUAGUUCCUUUUCCUCUUCGUUGUUCGGUGUAAAUUUCUCCUAUGAUGCUGUUGCGGGUUGAGGGUGCGCGCCGAGCUGUGAAAAAUGGGGAAAUCCCGUAGACUGUUGGUUUGUGCUGUUCUAUGCCUACGAGUGUAGCUUAUAGAAGCCGCAAGCGAUGUGUGGUCGUUCUCUGACUUGUGAGCUCGUGUGAUUCACUCGGCAACAUUUUGCCACAUUUCAAUCCUGGAGUUCGCACGUGCGCGUGUGUGAGUGUGAGACAAGCUCGAGAUCUUGUUAUUGUUGCUGCCGUUGCAGCUGCUGACAUUACGUUCGUGUUGUAGGUCUAGAUAGAUCUAGAUCUAGAGGUUUUGUAGCUGUUGUUGGUGGUGUUGCUGCAUCGGCUCGCUGCUUCAGACUCUUCAUUUGGUCUUUUCUUUUUCGAAAAAACAGCAUAACAAAA